GCAGGUCUGGGUUUGACACAGGAAAGAGAAGUUAGCACAGACACACCCUGCCCCAGCUCUCCAAGGGAAAGGCCAAAUUGGCCUUCAAGAGAGCUCAGCUUCUCAUGCCUUCCUUGCCUCCUCCUUUUAAGUUUCUUCAGUGCUGCCCCUUGAACUCCCAUCAUUGGAUAGUCUCAGUAAAUGCUAUCCCCCAAAAGAUGAGUUGAUCGGUUUGUUUCCUCCCCAGCAUUCAUUCCGUCCCCUCUGGCAUCAGCCACAGGUUUUCUUAGGGAAGCCACUCUCCCCCAGUCUCAGUCCCUGUGGUCUGUACGGUUGUUCCACCUGUAUCUACAGAUGAGGCCAGUGACUCAGAUCUGGCCAGUUGACAGAAGAAGCUGAGGAAGCUGCCUUGCAAUUAUUAGGAAGCGCCUCCUUGAGAAAGGAGCUGACAUGGAAAACAACUGAACAGAAAGAAACCACGUUCUUGUGACGUAUUGUGAGCCCCGGCUGUUAAAGCAAGAAUUACUCUUGGGCUUCUGCUAAAGCCACUUUGGGUAGGUUCUUGCAAUUGAACGAGUAACUGAUUCAUGAGCAGCUCUGACCCUCUACCUUGAGGUUUGUCCUCUAGGUAAAUUAGAUCUUCUUUGGCACCAAUUGGGUUACUCACCAUGAGCAGCUUCAUGUUCCCUGCUGUGCAAAGGGCCCGGCUCCUGAAAGAGAAGAAAAGAGGCAGCCUUAUCACUGGAAAAGAGCCCCAGGUCCUGUUGCAUAGUUGGGAAGGACACCAGGGAAGCCAGCAUGGGCUCUAGAAUCAGGGUGCCAGGCAUCUCGUACACCCUCCUGGAAAGAUGGAUGCAAACUGCAUGAGGACAACACCUUUGCUGUGUUCACCACAAUAGCCCAGCAC